GACGAACGCUGGCGGCGUGCUUAACACAUGCAAGUCGAACGGAAAGGCCCUGCUUUUGUGGGGUGCUCGAGUGGCGAACGGGUGAGUAACACGUGUGUAACCUGCUCUUGACUUUGGGAUAACUUCAGGAAACUGGGGUUAAUACUGGAUAGGAGCUCCUGCUGCAUGGUGGGGGUUGGAUAGUUUCGGCGGUUGGGGAUGGACUCGCGGCUUAUCAGCUUGUUGGUGGGGGAGUGGCUUACCAAGGCUUUGACGGGUCGCCGGCCUGAGAGGGUGACCGGCCACAUGGGGACUGCGGUACGGCCCAGACUCGUACAGUGGGCAGCAGUGGGGAAUAUUACGCAAUGAUCGGAAGCCUAAUGCAGCAACGCCGCGUGCGGGAAGACGGCCUUCGGGGUAGAAACCGCUUUCGCCUGUGACGAAGCGUGAGUGACGUUAAUCGGUGAAGAAGCACCGGCUAACUACGUG
rnacentral:rRNA from 1 species